rnacentral:rRNA from 1 species
CCUACGGGAGGCAGCAGUGAGGAAUAUUGGUCAAUGGCCGGAAGGCUGAACCAGCCAAGCCGCGUGAGGGAAGAAGUCGCUGAGCGUCGCAGACCUCUUUUGCCGGGGGACAACAGGCCGUACUCGUCCGGUCCUGACGGUACCCGGAGAAAAAGCACCGCCAAACUCCGUGACAGCAGCCGCGGUAAUACGGAGGAUGCGAGCGUUAUCCGGAUUCUUUGGGUUUAAAGGGUGCGCAGUCGGGACUCAAGGCCGGCGGUAAAACCCCGGGGCUCAACCCCGCCGAGCCGUCGGAACUGGGGGCCUUGAGUGCGGGAGAGGCAUGCGGAAUGCGCGGUGUAGCGGUGAAAUGCAUAGAUAUCACGCAGAACCCCGAUUGCGAAGGCAGCGUGCCGUACCGCCACUGACGCUGAGGCACGAAAGCGCGGGGAUCGAACAGGAUUAGAUACCCUAGUAGUC